GAGUGAACGCUGGCGGUAGGCCUAACACAUGCAAGUCGAACGGCAGCACAGUAGGAGCUUGCUCUUACGGGUGGCGAGUGGCGGACGGGUGAGGAAUACAUCGGAAUCUACCUUUUGGUGGGGGAUAACGUAGGGAAACUUACGCUAAUACCGCAUACGCCCUUCGGGGGAAAGCCGGGGACCAGCAAUGGCCUGGCGCUGAUAGAUGAGCCGAUGUCGGAUUAGCUAGUUGGUGAGGUAAUGGCUCACCAAGGCGACGAUCCGUAGCUGGUCUGAGAGGAUGAUCAGCCACACUGGAACUGACGA
rnacentral:rRNA from 1 species